UAGCGCCAGACCGCAUGCCUGUACUGCGGUGACGAGGAAAAGGGUAAUCGAAAAUUCGGCGGAUGCCCUUUCGGUGCUGCCAAGCAGCGUCGUCAGCCGAAAGACAAAGCCUUCCUGCAAAGGGAGAAACAGAA
rnacentral:ncRNA from 1 species